rnacentral:rRNA from 1 species
CCUACGGGAGGCAGCAGUGAGGAAUAUUGGUCAAUGGUCGGGAGACUGAACCAGCCAAGCCGCGUGAGGGAUGACGGUCCUAUGGAUUGUAAACUGCUUUUAUCAGGGAAUAAAAUCCGGCACGUGUCCUGUUUUGUGUGUACCUCAAGAAAAAGCAUCGGCUAACUCCGUGCCAGCAGCCGCGGUAAUACGGAGGAUGCGGGCGUUAUCCGGAUUUAUUGGGUUUAAAGGGUGCGAAGGCGGCCUGUUAAGUCAGCGGUCAAAGCCCGGGGCUCAACCCCGGCCCGCCGGUGAAACUGGCAGUCUGGAGUGGGAGAGACGUAUGCGGAAUGCGCGGUGUAGCGGUGAAAUGCAUAGAUAUCGCGCAGAACUCCGAUUGCGAAGGCAGCAUGCCGGAUCCACACUGACGCUGAGGCACGAAAGCGUGGGUAUCGAACAGGAUUAGAUACCCGAGUAGUC